GAUGAACGCUGGCGGCGUGCCUAAUACAUGCAAGUCGAGCGAACAGAUGAGGAGCUUGCUCCUCUGACGUUAGCGGCGGACGGGUGAGUAACACGUGGAUAACCUACCUAUAAGACUGGGAUAACUUCGGGAAACCGGAGCUAAUACCAGAUAAUAUAUUGAACCGCAUGGUUCAAUAGUGAAAGACGGUUUUGCUGUCACUUAUAGAUGGAUCCGCGCCGCAUUAGCUAGUUGGUAAGGUAACGGCUUACCAAGGCAACGAUGCGUAGCCGACCUGAGAGGGUGAACGGCCACACUGGAACUGAGACACGGUCCAGACUCCUACGGGAGGCAGCAGUAGGGAAUCUUCCGCAAAGGGCGAAAGCCUGACGGAGCAACGCCGCGUGAGUGAUGAAGGUCUUCGGAUCGUAAAACUCUGUUAUUAGGGAAGAACAAAUGUGUAAGUAACUAUGCACGUCUUGACGGUACCUAAUCAGAAAGCCACGGCUAACUACGUG
rnacentral:rRNA from 1 species